rnacentral:rRNA from 1 species
CGCGCAGGCGGUUUGAAUAGUCAGAUGUGAAAGCCCACGGCUUAACCGUGGAAGUGCAUUUGAAACUGUCAGACUUGAGUACCAGAGGGGAAAGUGGAAUUCCCGGUGUAGAGGUGAAAUUCGUAGAUAUCGGGAGGAAUACCGGUGGCGAAGGCGACUUUCUGGCUGGAUACUGACGCUGAGGCGCGAAAGCGUGGGGAGCAAGCA